AACCGCAAAUCAACAAAUUCCGAGCCGCUGCCCCCCUCGCGGUGCGGGCGAAAGAUGAAUUCGUUUGCGGGGGGUCUCCGCGGGCGCCUCGCGCGUGGAACACGCGUCCCACGUGGGGGCAGGCGAGGCCGGGGCCGCGGGGAGCCGCGUGCGCCCGUGGCACGUGCGGGAGGUGCCGGCUCCACGCGUCGCCCCGGUGGGCCGCUUAGAUGGUGAUCAGCGGCCAGAGCCUUGAACACAAAGAAAGGAAGGGAUGAUGCAAUUAUAACAGAAAGUUAUUGGAUGGAUGAGAAAGCCUCACUGUGGUCAGAGUAACAGGAGGGCAAAGUCACCUUGGCAGAGGCCUUUACCCCAGUGCACAGCCAAGGAGCAGGUCUCUGCUUUGCAAAUUGAACAGCAAGUAACUCUGGACAGAAAUCGGGGAGACUCCAGGACUCAUGACCCUGAGCCCAAGACCUGAGCUGAGAUCAAGAAUCCGAUGCCUAGCUGACUGAGCCACACAGGAGUCCCGGAUUAGUCUCUCGUUUGAACCAAUUCAGCAACAUAUUGCAAAUAGUCACUGGAGGAUAUUAAUGGUCCACACAUUUAAAACCAAAAAAAAG
rnacentral:lncRNA from 1 species